rnacentral:rRNA from 1 species
GGUGAACUGCGGAAGGACAUUA